GAACCUACGGGGCGCAGCAGUGAGGAAUAUUGGUCAAUGGGCGAGAGCCUGAACCAGCCAAGUCGCGUGAGGGAAGACUGCCCUAUGGGUUGUAAACCUCUUUUGUCAGGGAGCAACGCCGGCUACGUGUAGCCGGACUGAGAGUACCUGAAGAAAAAGCAUCGGCUAACUCCGUGCCAGCAGCCGCGGUAAUACGGAGGAUGCGAGCGUUAUCCGGAUUUAUUGGGUUUGAAGGGUGCGUAGGCGGAAUGCCAAGUCAGCGGUAAAAUCGCGGGGCUCAAUCUCGCUCCGCCGUUGAAACUGGC
rnacentral:rRNA from 1 species